rnacentral:rRNA from 1 species
AGCGAACGCUGGCGGCAGGCCUAACACAUGCAAGUCGAACGAACCUUUCGGGGUUAGUGGCGGACGGGUGAGUAACACGUGGGAACGUGCCUUUAGGUUCGGAAUAACUCAGGGAAACUUGUGCUAAUACCGAAUGUGCCCUUCGGGGGAAAGAUUAAUCGCCUUUAGAGCGGCCCUCGUCUGAUUAGCUAGUUGGUUGAGGUAAUGGCUCACCAAGGCGACGAUCAGUAGCUGGUCUGAGAGGAUGAUCAGCCACAUUGGGACUGAGACACGGCCCAAACUCCUACGGGAGGCAGCAGUGGGGAAUCUUGCGCAAUGGGCGAAAGCCUGACGCAGCCAUGCCGCGUGAAUGAUGAAGGUCUUAGGAUUGUAAAAUUCUUUCACCGGGGACGAUAAUGACGGUACCCGGAGAAGAAGCCCCGGCUAACUUCGUG